GUUUGAUCAUGGCUCAGAUUGAACGCUGGCGGCAGGCCUAACACAUGCAAGUCGAACGGUAGCACAGGGGAGCUUGCUCCCCGGGUGACGAGUGGCGGACGGGUGAGUAAUGCCUGGGAAACUGCCCGAUGGAGGGGGAUAACUACUGGAAACGGUAGCUAAUACCGCAUAACGUCUUCGGACCAAAGUGGGGGACCUUCGGGCCUCACACCAUCGGAUGUGCCCAGGUGGGAUUAGCUAGUAGGUGGGGUAACGGCUCACCUAGGCGACGAUCCCUAGCUGGUCUGAGAGGAUGACCAGCCACACUGGAACUGAGACACGGUCCAGACUCCUACGGGAGGCAGCAGUGGGGAAUAUUGCACAAUGGGCGCAAGCCUGAUGCAGCCAUGCCGCGUGUAUGAAGAAGGCCUUCGGGUUGUAAAGUACUUUCAGUGGGGAGGAAGGCGAUGAGGUUAAUAGCUUCGUCGAUUGACGUUACCCGCAGAAGAAGCACCGGCUAACUCCGUGCCAGCAGCCGCGGUAAUACGGAGGGUGCAAGCGUUAAUCGGAAUUACUGGGCGU
rnacentral:rRNA from 1 species